ensembl:lncRNA
UGGCAGGUGAUCACGAAUAACUGUGCUUUUGUUCAGCUGCAAUGAGCUACAGUACAUGUUACUGUAUGAAUGGAAAAGUACUAUGGUAGUCAAUGACUACUGUUAACAGUUUGAUUACUAAAACUGAUCAGAAUGUCUUCUUUGGUGUUCAACAGCUAAAAACAAAACCCUCAUAAAGGUUUGGAACGAGUGUAGGGUUUGUGAAGACUGAAGACUGGUGCUGAGGUGAUAAACCAAAGCCAGGCCUGCCUUGUUAUUACAUUACCAGGUUUGUGAAGAUUGAAGACUGGUGCUGAGGUGAUAAACCAAAGCCAGGCCUGCCUCGUUAUUACAUUAUCAGGAUUUGGUCAUGUUGAAGCUGAAGACUACCUGCUUUAUCUUUGUAACCUUCCUGCCAUUGGACACUUUCCACUGUGGAAUACGUCAGGAUUGAAACCAAACAAUGCAUUUCAGUAGUCUUAAUAUACUUCUGCUGUCUGCUAUCUUAAAGUACACAGCUCAGAACACUCACUAUUGAAGAGUUUUAAACUGUUCUUAUGAUGUCAUCAGCCAAUUAGUGUUGUCAUGAUCUACAAUCAUCAGUCAUAUGACAUUUACAACCCUGAAACAUUUCAAAUCAUACAAUAUGUAAAGAUUGGAAUAUUCAUUUAUUUAAACAAACAAACAAACAAACAAGAAAUAUUAAUUGCUUGAAUAUUGAUUUACUCAUUUGAAUAAAUUAAUAAAUAAAUAUUGAUUGGUAUAUAUAUUUUAAUGGAAGAGGAUUAGGGCUAAGCAAAAACGUUUAGAUUAAAGUCAUUAUAAUACAAGAUUAAACUCAUUAAAUUUCAAGAAAAAUGUUGAAAUAAAAUGUUGGGAUUAAACUCUGAUUUAUUUUCGAG